AAAAAAGAAACUGGAUUUAUUUCAAUCUAUAAAUUAUAUUUGAUAAUUUGUCUGUUUGUUAUUUUAAACGAUAACGUAAUUGAUAUCGAUAGUGAUAGAAGAUCGUUAAUUAUUGAUAUAAUAAUAAAAUAUAUGGAAUGGUUUUAUUAAUUAUUUCGAUCUCGAUUUUAAUUUUAUUAUUUUCGAUUAUACCGAUUUUGAUUAGUCGAUUAUUCUCUCUAUAAAAUUGCAACGUGUCUUAAAGAUCAAUAAAUUUUAUUUAAUCCUAAAGGAAUGUUACGAUAACACGUUCGAUAAAAUUUUAAGUGGAAUAAAAGUUUUUAUCAGUGAAAGAAUUCCGUGAUUUCUGAUAGUGAAAUGAGAUAAAUUAACGUGCGAGUGAUUAGUGGAAUUUUUUUCUGCAAAGAAAUUAGAUAAUUUCCUCCUUUUUCUUUUGAUUCCAAUUUAUAAAUCAAAAAUUGAAUAUAUACUUCCUAUUAUUAUUAUUAUUAUUAUUAUUAUUUUAACUCAAAAUUCAUACGUUCAUUUAGCAAUGCCAAAUUCCACAUUUUCUAUAUCGAUCACAAUAAACCACGAAUCCCAAAAAUAACAAAUCCUAAGAAUAGGAUAAUGUCAAUGUAACUUGUAAAGAAAGAAAGAAAAAAAAAAGAAUUUCGAGAUCCAUUACAGUUAUCUAUUUCUCGACGCUUACCGCCUUAUUUAUAACUCGUUUCGCAGAAUAUUUGUACGUGAUCCUUGAGAAGAAGAAGAAGAAGAAGAAGAAGAAAUGAAGAAAUUCCAUUUAUAAUCCGGCACGGGUUUAACGCGUAGAAAUACACACGUUUUCGUUUUGAAUGGACUAUAAAUAUUAAAAUAGGAUCGCGUAACGUCGCUUUGUACGAUCGUCGAUUUUAUUGAGAUCACGAUAAUUGUGCGUGGUCCGGACGACGGAACAACGUGAUCCUCCCGUUUUUUUUCUUCUCUAUCGAGAACAUGUGUUUACACGCAAUAUGUAUAUAUGAUAAAUUGAAAUUCUAAACGAAACGGCACGCACAAAACAUCGAUAAAUGAAAAUACCGUAGUAUUAGUAGCACGGUAAAUGCCACGGUAAUGGUGCACGUGGUGUAAUGGUACGGUGAAGGUAUAUACCUUGGCCGGUCGCCUGGCCAUUUUCUCGAACGUGCAUUACUAAGUUCAACACGGCAUGAUUGAAUGGCGGCAACAUCGUAUUAAAUGUGACGCGAUUACGGUAAACACGAAGGAAAAGGAAUAUAAUGGCCGUUGGCUUGCUACUUCGAAAAAGAUGGCCACCGGGACGUGGACUUUUUAUAUCGUCGAAUGAUGUAUACGUGCAUCGUGUUUCCUAAUGUGUUUAUAUAUCCAACACUAUGUUACAAUAAUUUUUCUUUGUUACAGAUGUAUUGUAUAAUGAGUGGAUUGAAACUGUGUUGGAGUAGUAUCAAUUUUUCAUUUUUAAUUCCAAUUUAAAGGAAGAAGAAGUUGCAUCGAUUUAAAAGUAUAAAAAAAGAGGGAGGAGGAAAUAAAGUAGUAAUUAAAAACUGAAGAAAGUAAUUAAAAAUCGAAGAGGAAUAUAAUGUUAUAACGUUAUAAUAAUAUCGAAAACAAACAUUCCGCUAUAAAUAGAUUACUAUGCGAGAUACAUAUAAUAGUAUCAUAAAAUAGAUUGAUAUAUAUAUACGGCGUAAUGCAUACGUGUGCCAAUUAUAGAAGUAGCGGUUGAACAAUCAAUUUGUUCGGAUUAACGUUAAUUCGAGAGAUUAUAUCGUCGGAUGUAAUAAAGGUGAAAAUAUGCGAGGAGGAGAUUCGAAAAUAAAACGAUCACCGUCACCGUCCAAAAAUUACAAUUCCAAGGGAUAAGCAAGUGUGUGAUUCAUUAGCGAGCAUGCCAAUUACAAACCGCCCAAGACACACGUGCGAGACACGUGUAAAAGCGUACUAUCAAAGAAUUCUCAUUUUCUCUACCCAAGCACAAGUUUCGCAAGCCUCGAUACCAUACGCAUUCCGUACCGCGAAAUAACACGAAACGAAACGCCUUCGGUUGACAAAAACGAAAGUUACGAAGAAUCGAAAGAUUAUUAAUCAUGCCAAAUAUAGAACGAUAUGUAUAUUCCUUUUAUUCUUCGAUGACUGUUCGAGAGGUCCUCGAAGAGAACGUGGUUCGAGAAAAGAAAAAGAAAUAUCGGGAAACACCUCUAACUUGUAGAUCGCCUUGAGGCAGCGCCAUUUUGGUCAAACGUCUUUUAUUCGCGCGUUGAAUGCGCGGCCGUGGCUCUCGUUAUUCUAAUUCCUGUCUCGUUUCAGGAUGUACGAUCAACAGGGAGGAAUGCCUUAAUCGGAUUUGCACAAGGACGAAUGAAAAGAAAUUAAAGUAAAUUCGUUGCAUUAUCGAAGAAGAUGAUGAUACAUAGAAUCUGCGAUAAUUCGUAUCGAUAAUGGAGUGGAAAUCAUUGGUGGAAUCAUUUCUUCCCGCCGAGGAUUAAAUAAGAUUAUAUAGUAUUACGUUUCGAAGAAAUGAUUUUUCACGAUCGUGUUAUAUUUAUUACAUAAAAAGUAUUUAUUGGCUCGAGAGAAAUGUAACGAUAUCGAUUGAUAAAAGGUAAUAAAGGUAAUAGUAAUAUUUCCUAGUGUAUCGAUCGAGUAAAAAGAAAAUACACGCGUGAUUCAAUCAAUGCGUGUUUUUUUUUUUUUAACUAGGCGAUUUUGAUUAAAAAAAUUGGAUUAAAUGGCAAUAAAAUUUGUUGUUUACAUCGCGAUUAAUAAACUUGUUAUAGAUUAGUGUAUCGAUUUUAUCUUUCCUUUUUUUCUUCUCUCUUCUUCUUCUUGUUUCGCGUUUUUCUCUGUUUUCUCUCCACGAUCGAAUCAAUCUUCUAAAACUAGGUUUUGAUAUUGAAAACCAGCCGACCGAAUAUUUUUCCCCGAUUCAAAUAUUAUCUAUCGAAACCGGUUCGAUUUUACUUCUCACGCACGCGAAUGGGAAUAUAUAAUGUUUUAUUGCGGGGAAAAAUUAUCUUCCACUUCCCGAACCGAUACUAGCAACACUUUAUUUCCUGUCGUAGCCGGAUUAAACCGAUUUCGAUCGGUUUAUUCGAGUUAUACAACAAAUCGUAACGCGACAUUCAAUCGAUUGUCCAAUUAACAACUUCCGUUAGAAGUUCUUUGAAAUUUAUUCCUUUUUUUUUCCCCCUCCCUCUCUAUUUUAUCCUCAAAUUACGAGACGAAUCUUAAUUAAUCGAUUGUUAAAUCGUCCAAAUCCGUUUCUCCUUUACUUUUCUCGCGAUUAGAUUAUUGAUAAUAAUAUUAGGUUAGAUUAAUUGUAUUUUGGAAAGAGAUUAUUAGCUAAAAAAAUCUAAAUCAGUGAAUUGUUUAUAAACUUUCUUCUAGGAAAUAUAUAUACGAGAUCACAUCUACAAAUACAAGAUCAAAAGGAAGCAAACUUUUUCUUCAGUAAAAUAUUAAUUAAAUCGAAUUCGAACGUAUCCUACAAAAUUUUCCUUGAUAAAAAAACAAAGGAACUUCACUUUCUUCCCGAUCAAAGGAAAAUCGCCCGAAACAUCAUAAACUUGAAACAAAUCGAGCCACCAAAUUUCUCAAAUCUUAACCACUUUUAUGAAGAAACGUAAAAUUUACCACGCACAAUUUCCAUCCUCCCCCAAACGCAGAACGAGGAGGAUCACGUUGAACGUGAUCCAAUACCGAUUAUUUCAAAGCAAAAUUGUUCGCCGGCGACCCGUUUGGAAACUGGACGGAUGGAUACAGGUGUGCGUGUGUCUACGCGCCCGUUUCACUGUGCAAUGGAACGCGCAGACCUCCUGCGCUGGCAAUGUAAUGGAUAGUUUUAGUUACGACACAUGUUAUUACGGCAAGUGGUUAGAAAACGUGGAUGAAACGACUGGCAACAACAACAAGCUCGACUCCUUUGCUCGAGUUCGAUCGUGCAGAAAAUCCAUCGAUUGAUAUCAUCGAUUCGAAAAUCGAAUUGCGUGUAUUUUUUCUUUCUUCUAUUUUCUCUCUCUCUCUCUCGAGUGAACACCUGUUGAACUCUGGCCGGCUCUCUGUUUAGUCGGUGCGUUUAGUCACGGAGAAAGGAUUGUUGGGACGGUUGCAAGGUUUUCUGUGUGGGAACAGUAUAUCGGUGGGAAGUGUAUCGAUCGUGAAGUUUCGAAAUAUUCGUGGCUAACAGGAUAUCGCGAUAUCGAGACGGCACUGUAAAUAUAAGUGAAGAGAGACUACUGUAAAUAUAAGAAAUUGGGACUACGUUCGAAUUUGGGACGAGUUUAAUUUCUUUUUUCUUUUUUUUAAGGAUAGAGGAUUCGUUGGACGGAGAGAGGAAGUGAUCCCUCGCGUAGAGCUGUUCAAUGCCGUUUCCAAGAAGACAAAGAUUCCGACACAAUUGACAUAAAUCUGCUGAUUCUAUCGUUCGUCGAUGACGACAAUACAAGUGAUGAAGAGCGAGUGUCACGAAGGAAUUCGAACCGGAUAUUCUUCAAGAUAAAAAUGCUAAGUAAACUUCUAGAACGAGAGG